rnacentral:lncRNA from 1 species
UGGGGUGACAAUCUCUAGGAAUGGAAGGAGGAAUAGAGAGGGGCCUGCCCCCUCCUCUUUGUUUGGCAUGGAAGGAGAGAGAGAGGGGGUGUGGGGUGCCAAUCUUUAGGAAUGGAAGGAGGAAGAGAGAGGGGCCCGCCCACUCCUCUUGGUUUGGCAUGGAAGGAGAGAGAGAGGGGCCACGCCCCCUCUCUUGCAUGAAAAACCCUAGAUGGGGUGCCAAGGGUUGGCGCCCCACCUACCUGCCUCUC